AUCGCUUCUCGGCCUUUUGGCUAAGAUCAAGUGUAGUAAAAAUAUAUUAACUCAUUCAGUUCUUAGAACAUCUUUA
ensembl:snRNA U2 U2 spliceosomal RNA